UGUAUGUGUUUCAAGGAAGAGAGAGAAAGAAGAGGGAAGCAAAAGAAAGAGAGGAAAGUAAGAGAAACACACUGAUGAUGAGAGAAAGCCUUCUAAAUGGCAUCUUCAAUCCAAUAUAAUAUCAUACCUCUUAAUAAAAAUCAAAUUACACUUGUUUAAUUGUUAUUAACCUUCCCUUAAACCAGCAAAUACAAAACACACCAAAAAAAAGGGAAAAAAGGUUCCACUUUUUUCCCUUUUUUUCAUCUUUUUAACACAUUCAAUUGUUGAAAAAGCUUUCUCUUUCCUCCCUUCAUCAUCUUCAUCUUCAUCUUUAUCAUUCUUAAUCCUUUAUUUUUUGUUGUUAUUUUCAUCUUCUGUCUCAUCUUCAUCAUCAACACUGUAAUCGUCAAUGGACAUCAUCAUGUGUAUGUAUAUCUAAAUCAGUGCGACACAACAACAACCCAAUAAUAGUGUUUGACAGCAAGAAAAAAACAACAACAACAACAAUAAUAACACCAAUAACAAUAAUCUAAUAAUAAUAAUCAUUGUAACAAUAAUAAUAAGAAUAAUAAUAAUACAAAUUGUCUUAAUAGUGAUAAUCAACAGUAAUAAUAACUAAUCAUCAAGAUCACUGCUGGUUUUGUUUAAUAGCAACAUAAUUGAUAAAUUUUGUGUUCAAAUUUUCAUCGCAACCUUUGCUGGAUUUAAAUCAUAAGACAUACAUUAGUAUCUGGAAAGCCUUUUGGCUUAUUUGUGCUCUUUUACUGUGUGUGUGCUUCUGCUUUGAAUGGUUGCUUGUAGUGUUACACCUUCAAAUAUACUUGAAAUUAAAUUUGUUUACUUUCAAUUAAUCAUCUAACCAACUAAUUUAUUGUGAAGGAUAAAUCCAUCCAAUUAAGGUUUAAAUCAAAAUGACUCGAGAUAGAUUAGCAGCUUUAAAAGCGGCUGCUGAAGAUGAGGAUGAAUUUGAAGUUGAAAUGCCUAAUAGUGAUGUUAAAAAUGAAUUUUUCCAACAAGUGGAAGAAAUUAUGGAAAUGGUGGAAAAAAUGAAAACGGACGUUGAAGAGGUCAAAAGGACGCAGAGUGCGAUAUUAUCAUCACCAGGAAAUGAUGAAAAGCUGAAGGUUCAAUUAGAUGGUCUGAUGACAACGAUUAAGAAAAAUUCAAAUGUGGUUCGUGGCCGAUUAAAAGCAAUGGAACAGGAGAUAGAGAAGAUGGAGGAAUCCGGUGAUAUGUCGGCCGAUUUUCGAAUCAGGAAAACUCAACAUUCAAUGCUUUUACAGAAGUUUGUUCAAACAAUGACAGACUACAAUCAAACCCAAGUCGAUUACCGAGAAAGGUGUAAAGCAAGGAUACAACGACAACUUGAAAUUGCUGGUAAGACAACAACAGCAGAGGAGGUUGAAGAAAUGCUUGAAAGUGGUGAAAGCGCUCAAAUAUUUACAGAAGGGAUUGUUACAGAUACAGCUCAGAUGAGGCAAACACUGGCAGAUAUUGAAGCUCGCCAUGCAGAUAUUAAAAAGUUAGAAAAAAGUAUAGUUGAAUUACACGAAAUGUUUCUAGAUAUGGCAACUUUGGUAGAGAGUCAAGGUGAAAUGAUUGAUAGAAUUGAAUUUCAUGUUGGUAAAGCAGUUGAAUAUGUUAAAGCUGGAACUGAAGAUACUAGGAAAGCAUUGAAACUUCAACGUGAAGCUCGCAAGAAAAAAUUGAUGAUAAUCGCUUGCAUAGCAAUUGCUGGUCUUAUUCUUGUUCCCAUGGUUUUCAAAUUUAUCCCAUUACCAUUCUGAAGAGAUUUAUCUUUUUCUUUGUCUCUCUCGUACACUUUUUUCACAAUUUAUCUUUAUUCAUUCCCGGAGAAGGAAUUAAGUGUGACAAUAAUAAUACAAUAAUAAUUUUCAUUUACCUUCUACUUCCACCAAAUAAGGAUUUACUCAACACUGAUCACAACGGUAACAAUGAUUAUAUCAACUGUAACCAGAUUAAAUAAUUAAUGAUUACAAGUUUUUAAACUGUUAACAACAACAACAACAACAACACCAUCGUCAUUCUCAUCACUCUCAUCAACAUCAUCAUUAUCAUCAGCCAAAAAACACCAGAAACAAACACUACAACAGCAAAAACCUCAAAACCUGCAACAGGAACAAUGGUAACAUCCAUAUUGAUUUGUUCUUAAAUAAGUAUGGUGAUAAUAACAAAGCUAAAUGAGAGAUUAUCAAAGAUAAAAGGAAAGAGUUAGAUUUAAGGAGGGAAAGAAGAUUUGUGUUAUCAAUAUUAACCAACAAAACAAUCAUCUAAUGGUCCAGUUAAGUUUAAUGAUGAAAACUACUCAACCAGUUAAACAAUUAAAGAAUUAGUUGAUGAUUAUCAACUCAUCUUUUUAUUUUCUUCUCUUCCUUUCCUUCGAUCAACCUCUGCGAUUUGUUCCUCGAUUGUUUCAAUCUCUCAUCAUCAUAAUUACCUUGUGCAUCAUGAUCAUCUCUUUUUUCAUUUUACAAUUUUCAUCGGUUCAUAUCAAGAAGAGUCAACGGAUGAUAAGAAACCCACAUUCACACACACAAUACUUCAAGUCUAAUAUAAUAUGCAAUACAAGAUAAAAUUGAAAGCAACCAUUACCAGUAGCAUUGAACCACUUUAAAACCAUCCAAAUUUUGCUGACAAACAAUUAAAUCACAACAACAGGAAUUGAAUUUUCUUUCAGUAACAUACACCAACACAGUACACCGUAAACUACAUGUAUAUUAACAUUCACUCAAACACACACACACGCAACACACAGAAAAUGUUACUCGAGAUACAAGCCAAUAUUCAAUUCUUUAAGGAUUAUUGGAACAUUAAUUAAAAGGUUAACAAAAUCUUAUACAACAAUGGUGUUGAACGUAGAGGAAUUAUUUAAAUAUAAAUCAAAUAUAUAUAUAAUCAACUACAAAUUCAAUUAUACAAUAGUGAGAGUUUGAGCUCAAAAAAAGACGAAUCCAGUUGUUUGUGCUUUUUACUAUUACAUUAACAAAUUACAUUAAACCCAAAAAGAAGGAAUUGAAUGACAAUAAAUGGAUAAAUGGUGAUGAUGACAAUUAUGAUGAAUCUCUUGGUGUAAAUACAAAUCUUUCAAAACCUUUGAUGAACCACAAUUUCAAAGCAAACAAUCCUGUUUACCUGGCUUACCUCUUUCGAGUCAACAAUUUAAAAAGUUAACCUGCCACAAUAAACGAGAGAAAUGGUUUCCUUUACUUUGCAAAUUAAAAUGUGAUUUUGAUUAGCAAACAGGAUUUUUACACAACUUGAUGGUCAACACCUCUGACCGUCUUUUGUCUUCUUCUCAAUCAUCAAUUGCUGUUGUUACCAUUGGUGUCAUUGCUGGUUAAGGAUAACAACAUUUUCCUAAAGCAAACCCAAAAAAUCCUGUUCCAGCUUUAACUCAUUGACGCAUUGGCUCACCGUUCAUCUCUUUUUGGCUGUUUUGUUUUAAUUUACGGCCAAACUGUAAUUGAUUUUCAUCUUGGAUCAAAACGAGGAAUUGAUUCUCAAGCUAACAUUUUAGUUAUAAUUUGUGUGCAAGCAAAUACAUAAUGAAUUUCAUUUUUUACUCAUAAACAACGAACCACUGAAACACACUCAUGGACACUAUCUUACUCUCUUAUGAAUCAACGGAUUUUUUGUCAAAAUCUCAGCACAAUUGGUUUGGUCUUUGACCAUUUUUUCAUUUUCUAAUUUCUUCAAAAUUCAUUUGGAACCUAAUUCUGGUCUCUUGUCUAGUCUACAAAGCAAUUAUUCAUUCCUUUUGAAUGGCAAAAUUUGUCUUCAAAUACUUUCCUUUUUAAUUGUCUGCUUGAUCUAGUGAAAUGAUGUGAAUGAAGACACUUUGAUGAAUGCCCGAUACAACAUUCAAAUAAUAAUAUAAAUUAUUUGCAGUUUAAAGAACGUUAAAUACAUUUUUUGGAUAAAUUCAUCAACAAAUUUUCAUGAAAAGCCCAUAAAACACUCAACUUGACUCAAUCUCUCACGUACAUUCACUGGCACACACACACACAACACACACAUACAUUUGGACACAAUUUUUGCAAACAAACAAUAAUUUUAAUUUUAUUUAAUUUUCAACAUAGAAGUGAGAUAUUUAAUUGUUGUGUGUGACUGCGAAAAAUUGCUCUUCUUUUGCUAUUUGUGUUUGAUUCAUAGAGAAGAGGAAACCAAAAAAUGAUGAUGUCAAAGUGGACGUUUCAAUUAGCAUCAUACAAAGAUAAUAAUCGCCACCAUCACUACCACCAAGCAUAAACUAUUAUUUGUUACAAAAACGAUUUGCGACGUCAAUCUCAUCCCAAACAUCACCAUCAUCAUCAUCUCCAUCUUACAAUCUUUCCUCUUUCUCUCUCUCUCUCUUAAACUAUAUCUUUUUCCUUUCAUUCCCAGGCAAUUUUGAUGUUUUUCAUUAUGAAGACGAUGUGUGACAAUAUCUAUUUUUCUCGAUUCUCAACAGCAUUUUAAAGUUUACACCUAAAAACUGCGCAAUUCACUUUACCAGAACCUAACAAAACCUGAUGAUGACAAACCGUUGUAAAUAUUUAGAUUUUAAUUUUGGUUCCUACUUUCAUUGGUUACAAUGAGUUUGGUUCCUUUCCCACCAAGAAUGAAGAGGAUAAAAAUGACGCAGACUUACAUGUACAUAACCUGAAAUCAUUUCCACUUGAAAAUCAUCAGCCAUUUUAUCAACACAAUUUUCUGCUUUCUUCUUAUAGACAUUUUCACCAUAAUCUUAAGCUUGAUCUCAACAAUUCUCAUUUCAACUCUUUCUUUCCAUCUACAGGUUGAUUCUUCCUUCGUCUCGACCAUUCAAUGUUAUGCAGUUUUUCAUCUUUAUUAACUCAUCUCAUCUCAUCAAUCAUCCUUUGCGUUAACCCUUUCCUUCUCCUAUGCUGACCAGUCAUCUUCCAAUAAUCACAAUCAACAAUGACGAAAUUAUCAGGCCUUUUUUAAUGAGAUAAUCCAUUUAAACCUUUUUUCAUUUUCACUCAAUGAUAAUCAUUCAAUAUUGUUUCUGUUGACUUUCAUUUUUUUAAUCCCGCAAUAUAAUUGUCACAACCCAUGUUAAUCUUAAGCUUGACUGACAACACCAACAACUGUUGUCGAUCAGAGCUAACAAUCAUCUUGAAAAAUUGAAUGAUUUUACUGUAAUAGAGAAUUGUAAAUUUUACUUUCUCUACUCUUUUUUGCUUUCGUUUCAGCUUAAAUAACAUUGAUUUUGAAAGAUGUUUGAAGAUCCAACCUGAAGAUUUUUUUCCCCAUUUUUCAAUCAUUAUCUAACCUUUUUCUUGCUGUUGAUUUACUCGAUUUGUUAAUUGUUUGUUAAUAUUUGUUUAAUUGUGAGUUGUUUGUAUAACUAAUUGUUUUCUCCUAUCUUUUUUUGUACAUUUAACAGAACUGAUUAUUGGGUGUCGUCUACCAGAAAUUUGUAGUUACUCUCCGUGGGUCAACUAUAAUCAACUCUACUUUAAAUUACGUAGAGCAGUGUGUGCCUUUUGUCAACUAUCCUGAUUCAGAUUUGGAUACUUGUGCCUCGGAAUAACACUUUGAUCAAAUUCUUGGCAAUCAAUUGAUAACCUUUAAUUGGAACCUAACAUAAUUUCACUUUCUCUGUUUCCCUGUUUUCAUCAAUAUUUUACAAUCAAAGAUGCCAUCUAAUUGUAAAAUAAGGAAAGCAACUUGAAAUCAAUCUCUUCCUUUGAUUAGUAUUUUAUUUUCUAAAUCUCUGCCUGAAUUUGGUUCUACCGUUUGAAGCUGUCUAAUCAAAGGUUGCCAAUUGAUCCAUUUAUAUUGCAUCAAGUGUUCAAAGGUACAAUGGCAACAAUCAACAAACGGCACACUACAAAUUCAACACAAUAAAACACUCAAUAAUCAUUCGCUUUUAAAAUGUACAUUAGUGAAACAAUUUGAAUUGAUACAAACAUAAAGACAGUUUAAUCACAAGAAAUGAUUGAAUGUAUUGAGAUUGAAAUUAAAAAAAAACAAUUCUCCAACUAUAGCAAUAUGAUUGGAAUAGGCAAUCGUAUAUAUAUAAAUAUAAAUAUAUAUAUUAAUUAAGCUACCAUUAAAUAGCUUGUUAAAGAACUAAUAUAAUUAAUUGGAUUACUUUACGAAAAGAUGCCUUAACAAAAAAAAACAACUCUUCAACAACCACAUUGAUUGUGCUCUUUUUUGCAACAUAAAUAAAUUCAAUUUAUAAACAACAAA